CCUACGGGUGGCAGCAGUGGGGAAUAUUGGACAAUGGGGGCAACCCUGAUCCAGCCAUGCCGCGUGUGUGAAGAAGGCCCUCGGGUUGUAAAGCACUUUCAGUGAGGAAGAACGCCUGGUGGUUAAUACCCAUCAGGAAAGACAUCACUCACAGAAGAAGCACCGGCUAACUCCGUGCCAGCAGCCGCGGUAAUACGGAGGGUGCGAGCGUUAAUCGGAAUUACUGGGCGUAAAGCGCGCGUAGGUGGCUUGAUAAGACGGUUGUGAAAGCCCCGGGCUCAACCUGGGAACGGCAUCCGGAACUGUCAAGCUAGAGUGCAGGAGAGGAAGGUAGAAUUCCCGGUGUAGCGGUGAAAUGCGUAGAGAUCGGGAGGAAUACCAGUGGCGAAGGCGGCCUUCUGGACUGACACUGACACUGAGGUGCGAAAGCGUGGGUAGCAAACAGGAUUAGAUACCCUAGUAGUC
rnacentral:rRNA from 1 species